rnacentral:rRNA from 1 species
UACGUAGGGGGCAAGCGUUGUCCGGAUUUACUGGGCGUAAAGCGCGCGCAGGCGGGCUGGUCAGUCCGGGGUGAAAUCUCACGGCUCAACCGUGAGCGGUCCCCGGAUACUGCCAGUCUUGAGGUGUCUAGAGGAGAACGGAAUUCCCGGUGUAGUGGUGGAAUGCGUAGAUAUCGGGAAGAACACCAGUGGCGAAAGCGGCUCUCUGGGGACCACCUGACGCUGAGGCGCGAAAGCGUGGGGAGCGAACCGG